CAGUAUUGCUUUUGCCAGAUGGUUAUCCUUUGAAAAAGUCAGUCUCAUUUCCAAGAAUAGCCAUUUCCCUCUUCCUGCAGGGAGGCCUGAGACCCUCCUGGCGCCCUUUCAGUUUUGGCAGACAUCCUGGUUUGCUUCGAGUCCCCACUUAGGAAAUGGAGAAAAGAGAGUGGGAAGUGUUUCUGUUAAGGCUUCAGCAGAAAAAAGCCAAAGACUCCCAGGACCUUGUCCUGCAGCUCUCCGUGCCUAUCUGUACCAAGUGCUGUUGUGGGUGAAGAAGGCCCAGGUCAAUGUACAAAACAGGUGAAACUCCAGUCCUCUUGGAUUUUCGUAAAGGGCGAGAGAUGACAAACAAACAAUAAAAUAUAAAGAACGUCAGAUGAGGAUUAGUGCCAUGGAGAAAAGUCACAAGAGAAGUGAAGGCACAGGUGAGGGUAUUAGCUUCCAGGACGGUCGACACUAGCAAGGAGGUGACAUUUGAACAAGAUCGUGAGGAUUUGAGGGAGUGAAGCAAGUCACAUCUAGAGGAACGGCCUUUAGGACAGAGGAAAGCAGCAACUGCAGACGCCUGAGAAAAUGAUGCCUUUCACAGAGCAGGAUCUCCAGGCACAUUUGUGGGUUGAUUAUUGAAUCAAACUCUUCAUUCACAUUUUGAAAAGAACCAUCCAAGAAUUAGGUUUGCUACUGCUGUAAAAGAUAUAAAUCAAUGUUGCCAUGGCUAUGGAAAAUUAUCAUAAAUGUACUAGAAAAUACACUCUCGCUUUUGUGAGAUGUACGAGGAAAUGCACUUUACACUCAAAAUCUCAGA